rnacentral:rRNA from 1 species
AACGAACGCUGGCGGCAGGCCUAACACAUGCAAGUCGAACGAGUGGCGGACGGGUGAGUAAUGCCUGGGAAACUGCCUGAUGGAGGGGGAUAACUACUGGAAAAGGUAGCUAAUACCGCAUACCAUCAGAUGUGCUCAGAUGGGAUGAGCUUGUUGGUGGGGUGACGGCUCACCAAGGCGACGAUCCCUAGCUGGUCUGAGAGGAUGACCAGCCACACUGGAACUGAGACACGGUCCAGACUCCUACGGGAGGCAGCAGUGGGGAAUAUUGGACAAUGGGCGAAAGCCUGAUACAGCCAUGCCGCGUGUAUGAAGAGGGCCUGCGGGUUUUAAAGUACUUUCAGCGGGGAGGCGUUACCCGCAGAAGAAGCACCGGCUAACUCCGUGCCAGCCGCCGCGGUAAUAC